GACGAACGCUGGCGGCGUGCUUAACACAUGCAAGUCGAACGGAAAGGCCCUGCUUUUGUGGGGUGCUCGAGUGGCGAACGGGUGAGUAACACGUGAGUAACCUGCCCUUGAUUUGGGAUAACUUCAGGAAACUGGGGCUAAUACCGGAUAGGAGGUCCUGCUGCAUGGUGGGGGUUGGAAAGUUUCGGCGGUUGGGGAUGGACUCGCGGCUUAUCAGCUUGUUGGUGGGGUAGUGGCUUACCAAGGCUUUGACGGGUAGCCGGCCUGAGAGGGUGACCGGCCACAUUGGGACUGAGAUACGGCCCAGACUCCUACGGGAGGCAGCAGUGGGGAAUAUUGCACAAUGGGCGGAAGCCUGAUGCAGCAACGCCGCGUGCGGGAUGACGGCCUUCGGGUUGUAAACCGCUUUCGCCUGUGACGAAGCGUGAGUGACGGUAAUGGGUAAAGAAGCACCGGCUAACUACGUG
rnacentral:rRNA from 1 species